GGUUGCUUAUGGAAGCUUGCUGAAGUAAGCGAUAGUAGCGGACGGGUGAGUAAUGCAUGAGUACCUGCCUUCGGGAGGGGGACAACAGUUGGAAACGGCUGCUAAUACCCCGUAUGCCGAGAGGUGAAAGGAGUGGAGACACUCCGCCCGGAGAGGGGUUCAUGUCCUAUCAGCUAGUUGGCGAGGUAACGGCUCACCAAGGCGACGACGGGUAGCCGGCCUGAGAGGGUGAACGGCCACACUGGAACUGAGAUACGGUCCAGACUCCUACGGGAGGCAGCAGUGGGGAAUAUUGGGCAAUGGGGGCAACCCUGACCCAGCGACGCCGCGUGAGGGAAGAAGGGCUUUGGUUCGUAAACCUCUUUUGUACGCGAAGAAGAAGAUGACGGUAGCGUGCGAAUAAGUCCCGGCUAACUACGUGCCAGCAGCCGCGGUAAUACGUAGGGGACGAGCGUUGUCCGGAAUUACUGGGCGUAAAGGGCGCGCAGGCUGCGCGUCGAGUCGGCUGUUAAAGAUCCGGGCUUAACCCGGUGAUGCGGUCGAGACCGACGUGCUGGAGUGCUGUAGAGGCAAGUGGAAUUCCCGGUGUAGCGGUGAAAUGCGUAGAUAUCGGGAAGAACACCGGUGGCGAAGGCGACUUGCUGGGCAGCAACUGACGCUGAGGCGCGAAAGCCAGGGGAGCGAACGGGAUUAGAUACCCCGGUAGUCCUGGCCGUAAACGAUGAAUGCUAGGUGUGGGUGUAGAGAUACAUUCGUGCCGGAGUUAACGCGAUAAGCAUUCCGCCUGGGGAGUACGGUCGCAAGAUUGAAACUCAAAGGAAUUGACGGGGGCCCGCACAAGCGGUGGAGCACGUGGUUUAAUUCGAUGCAAACCGAAGAACCUUACCUGGGCUUGACAUAUACGUGGUACGGAGAUGAAAGUCGAAGGACUCCGCUUUCGGGCGGAGAGCGUAAACAGGUGCUGCAUGGCUGUCGUCAGCUC
rnacentral:rRNA from 1 species